AUAUCAUCUUAUCAAGGAGAAGUGCAGCCACAGCCUCCUUGAUUGCUCCGUGAAAAAUGAGAAUGGCAACGACACUGUCACAACCCCCCACCACCACCACUAUUUACUCAGCUUCGAAAACGCCACAACCCCAGAACAACCCUAAUUCUAUUUCUUCCCAACAAGAAUUAUCUCUUCUUUCUAAACUCCAUUAUUGUAAAUCUGUAUCACAGCUCAAACAAAUCCAUGCCUUCAUCAUCAAAACACCAAGGUCUCAAACUCACCACGUUUAUGCUAAAAAACUCAUCUACUCCCUCUUACAACUAAACCAUUUCUUUAGCCCCCCAAAUGACAAAGACCUUAACUAUGCUCACUCUCUUGUUAAGCAAUGGGAUAAACCUGAUGUCUAUGCUUACAAUGCCUUAAUCCAACGCAUGUCAUCAACUUCUAUGCAAUCUUUUCACUUGUAUCAGGAAAUGCUGAUAAAGGGCAUUAUUCCUGAUACGUACACUAUCCCCUUUGUUCUUAAGGCAUGCUCCCAUUCUUUGGCUCUUUGGGAAGGUCAGCAGAUUCAUGCUCAUUGUAUUAAAAUGUUUUUCAUGGAAAAUGUGUAUGUUAAUAACACUCUUAUGAGGCUUUAUGCUGUCUGCGGAAUGCUCGACGUUGUCGAGAAGCUGUUUGAGCAAGGUCCUGUUAGGGACCUAGUCUCGUGGACCACGCUCAUUCAAGCAUAUCUCAAGAUGGGAUUUCCAAUAGAUGCCGUUUCGGCUUUCUUUCGGAUGUGCCAAGCAAAUUUAAGACCGGACAAUAUGAUUUUAGUUGUUGUGCUUUCCGCGUGCUCCAAGCUGGGAGACUUGAGUUUGGGUAGGAAAAUCCAUGAAUAUAUGGUUCACCUUAAGGUGAAUGUUGAUUCGGAUGUUUUCCUUGGUAAUGCAUUGGUGGACAUGUACUUAAAAUGUGGGGAAGCUGGUUUUGCUAGGCACAUGUUUGAUAAGAUGCCUGUUAAAAAUGUAGUUUCUUGGAAUUCAAUGAUAUCUGGUCUAGCUCAGCAAGGACAAUUUAAAGAGGCAUUGGAUGUAUUUAGGCGGAUGCAAAAGGUGAGAUUGAAACCAGAUGAUGUCACUUUGGUUGCUGUGUUGAAUUCUUGUGCAAAUCUUGGAAUGCUUGAACUUGGAAAGUGGGUUCAUGCUUAUAUAGAUAAAAGUCACCUAAGGGCAGAUGGGUUUAUUGGGAAUGCUCUUGUGGAUAUGUAUGCAAAGAGUGGAAGCAUCGAUCAAGCCUUCCGAGUGUUCCAAGCCAUGAAAUUAAGAGAUGUUUAUUCGUAUACUGCAAUGAUUGUAGGCUUGGCAAUGCACGGGGAAGUAGAGAGUGCGCUAUCUAUCUUCUCUGAAAUGCCCAGAACAGGCAUCAAGCCUGAUGAAGUAACAUUCGUGGGUGUUCUUUCCGCUUGUAGUCAUGCAGGAUUGGUGAAAGAAGGACGGAGAUAUUUUGAGGACAUGUCCAAGGUCUACAACCUAGAACCUCAAGCAGAGCACUAUGGUUGUAUGGUUGACCUUUUGGGUCGUGCUGGGCUAAUAAGUGAGGCACAAGAGUUCAUACAGAAUAUGCCAAUUGCUCCUGAUGCUUUUGUUUGGGGGGCACUACUAGGAGCUUGCAAGAUGCAUGCGAAGGUUGAGCUUGGGGAAAGUGUAAUGGAAAAACUCCUAGAGGUGGAGCCCCGGAAAGAUGGUGCAUAUACACUCAUGUCGAACAUGUAUUCCUCUGCAAAUAGAUGGAGAGAUGCUUUGAAAUGGAGAAAGGCCAUGAAAGAAAGAAACAUAAAAAAGACUCCAGGGUGUAGUUCAAUUGAAGUUGAUGGUCUGGUUCAUGAAUUCCGCAAGGGUGAAAAAGCACAUCCAAAAGUUAAAGAGCUAUACAAGUUGCUGGAAGCAAUGAAUGGUCACUUGAGAAACUAUGGGAAUUUGGUCCACAGCAAUGGAUUUUGUUGAUCCAACUACAGGAUACAAGCACCAUUUGUCUUGGUAGAUCAAGAUAUAGUCCAUAUGGAGUACCUUGUGGACUGCUACAGCCCAUGCUUUUACAGCUGUUGUUGGUGCUGGCAUAUUAGCAUUGCCUUGGAGUGUUGCUCAAUUGGGUUGGAUCCUUGGCCCCUUCAUCCUCGUCUUCUUUGCCAUUGUUACAUACUAUAUUGCGUCUC